rnacentral:rRNA from 1 species
AUGGUGAGCAGCGGCGACCCCGGAGUAUUUGGCGAGGCAGGCAUCGGGCCGGAGAUCCGCCGCGUCCACGACUGGGUUCCCGAGGGGAUGGAGUUGCGGUUUGCUUUCAUGGUGCACAUUAGAAGGGACCGGUACAUGUUCGAUGCAAAGGAUAAGAAGAAAUACCAAGGAGGUUUUGAUUAUCGGUUGCCAAUGGCUAGUAAUUGGAGUUUCAGACAAUUUGGGGAGAAUUGGGUGACAGUUAGUAAUGAUGAAGAGCUAGCUACCAUGUUUGUUAGGCAUAAAGAGAAACAUAAUUUUCAUGUGAGGCUGCAAGUUGAUGUGCUUGAGCAGGCAUUUGGACCUAGGAUGGCGGGUGCAACAUCUCGGGGAGAAUCAAGUCGUCGUAAUGGCAUCUCUAGCCAGAACAGUUCAGUUGGUGCACGGCGACGUGGUGGCUCGACAAGUGUGGGCAACAGCAGUAGGGUCCCCCUUGAAGUGGAGCCUGAUGGCUACAAUUCUGGGGUUGAUGAAGAGAAGUUAUAUUCUGAUGUUAUUCAGAAUUUACGAUGGGCACCUCAGGCUGAAAACCAAGAUGAGGCUCACAAUGCAGUCCGUGUGGAUGAUGACGCGAUGGGUGAGGACGAAGACCUUGCAGCUGUUGAAUGGGACCCUUUGAACCCUCAAAUGAAAGAAGGUACAGUUUUUGCAUCCAUGAAUGAGUGUAGAAAUGCACUUGUGACAUACUGCAUCAAGGUAGAACGUACUUUCAAAGUUGACAAGAGCGAUCAAGUACGUUACAGAGUGCACUGUCCGACUGAGGGUUGUCCAUGGAGGCUGCUUGCAGCUAAAAUGCGGAAUAGCACUAAUGUUCAGGUCAAAGUGAAUCCUUUUAAGCACACAUGCCAGGAAUCAACCCUUAGGAAGGAUACAAUCAGUAGAGCCAAGUCAAGAUGGGUGGCAGAAGAAGUAAAAAAGUGGGUGAAAGAAAACCAGCAAGUGGGUCCAAAGGAAUUGCAGAAGAACAUCAAAGAUAAGUUCAAGAUAGAUUUACCAUACAUGAGGUUGUUCAAUGGUAAACAACAUG